UCAAGAAAGAAGACUUGGAGAGCAAACUUAAGAGGCCAUUCGGCCAUGUCCAUAAAAUUUUUGCCCCUUGAAAUCUUGCUUCUAAAAUUAUUUUCUUGUGGUAUUCCUACUAAUUCAAGGGUCCUCUACAACGUGGUGUAGUUAUUUCGGAAGAUAAGUCGCUUGUUUCGUAGAUUUGACACUUUGGUCAAGUGAAGAAGCUAGGAAGAAAAGAUUUUGGAGGAAAUGAGAUUCGAAUUUGGAUAAGCGUAAAAGGCAAAUAAGGUACACCCAGAUGAUGUGGAGUUAUUAUAGAGGAUGUUCCAGCAGAGUUGGCAAGCUCCAUUUGCUCCUGGAGUGCUGCCGAGUUAGAGUUUGUGUGUAUGUUUUCUCUGGAUCGAUGUUAGAGACUUUGCAGACAGAGUCGUGGGUAUAGUAUGUCAGUGGUGUAAGCGGCUCCAUUAGUCAAUAUGUCAUUCUGUAUUAUAUGUUAAAUUCUAUAUGAUCACAAAUUCUGUUGAUUUGGAAAGCUUCGAAAAAGAAUAUUUUUGAGAGCAUACCGUGUAUUUUAUUUUAUUUGAUUUAAAAGCCUAAUAAGAUUUUAUAUGUCCUAAAGGUUUGUGGGUUCGCUCGGCUCCGGAUAUGGGGCCGGGUGCCCAUCACACCCUAGUGGAAUUGGGGUGUGACAAAUAGACCAGCACCAACACCAAUCUGUCUACGCAUCUUCUUAAUCUUCUCUUGAACUUCCCUCAUUUUUUCUCCUGGAACAGUACCUACAUUUUCCCUAGCCAUUUCUUGCAUGCCUUAAAUAAUCAAA